CUCCAGGAAGAGGGGGACAGAAAGGUUCACUUCCAGGCUAUGUAUGACUCCAAUCAAAUGACUACUCUGCUAUGGCCUUCUCUCAGUAACAGGCAACAGACUCAAAAGAGGAGAAUGUAAACCAGAACACUUAGGAAAUUCUACACCUUCAGAAGAAAAGCCCAGAUAUGGUGAAAUGUGUUCUAACAUUUCCUCCACUAGUCCGUUCAGCCACACAAGGAUACAGAUGCUACAGUAUGACCCAGUUUUUGCUGACAAAGCCUUUAUUCUGGGUACGAUCGACACGGUGGUCUGAAUAUGGUUGACGGCCUCAAAUAUCACCCAGAUACCUUGUUUUCCAUCUCGCAUGUCUGUUCUCAGACAGACAUCUCUGUCGGGAGAUCAGUGGACUUCAGAUCCCAUCCCAUUGAGACUUUAAGUGUCUUACUUUGCUUCAACACGCAGCUCAAGAAUCAUUGCGGGGGCUCUCCAUGUCUGUGAAACCAAUCUGAGAGGCCCUUUUGUGUUACACUUUAUUCAUCUCAAGAGAAAACACUCGACACUGGUUACUUUUUAUAACUCAUAGCAAUCAGAAACAAGCA